rnacentral:rRNA from 1 species
UACGGGAGGGUGCAAGCGUUAUCCGGAUUCACUGGGGUUUAAAGGGUGCGUAGGCGGUCGGGUAAGUCUGAUGUGAAAUCUCACAGCUUAACUGUGAAACUGCAUUGGAUACUAUCCGGCUCGAGGAAUGGAGGGGAGACUGGAAUACUUGGUGUAGCAGUGAAAUGCGUAGAUAUCAAGUGGAACACCAGUGGCGAAGGCGAGUCUCUGGACAUUUCCUGACGCUGAGGCACGAAAGCCAGGGGAGCAAACGGG